GUUUGGUUGUAUUUGUCUGUGUUUUUAGGUGAAGGCAAAAGGGUGGUGUUGCAAAUGCAGUUGAAGCCUGUUGGACAGGUGAACAUGCAGGACCCUGUAAUUAGGGCCAACAUGUUAGCUAAGAUCAAUGAUAAAUUUAACAAACUUGGGUUUGGCAAUGCUGUCAAAAUACGGUGGCUCACAAGGCGGGAACCGCAGAGGAAAAACAGUGAAAAUGACACUUGCACUUUUUUUGAUCCUCUUUAGGUUUUUUUUUGUUUUUUUAUAACAUAUAAUGUGGGCACUUUAGGUUUAUCCAUAUAUUGCAUAGAAAUGGUUUUGAUAGAAAACACCUCU